AUUGAACGCUGGCGGCAGGCCUAACACAUGCAAGUCGAGCGGUUGCAGGGAGCUUGCUCCUGGAUUCAGCGGCGGACGGGUGAGUAAUGCCUAGGAAUCUGCCUGGUAGGGGGGGAUAACGUCCGGAAACGGGCGCUAAUACCGCAUACGUCCUGAGUGAGAAAGGGGGGGAGCUUCGGACCUCACGCUAUCAGAUGAGCCUAGGUCGGAUUAGCUAGUUGGUGGGGUAAAGGCCUACCAAGGCGACGAUCCGUAACUGGUCUGAGAGGAUGAUCAGUCACACUGGAACUGAGACACGGUCCAGACUCCUACGGGAGGCAGCAGUGGGGAAUAUUGGACAAUGGGCGAAAGCCUGAUCCAGCCGUGCCGCGUGUGUGAAGAAGGUCUUCGGAUUGUAAAGCACUUUAAGUUGGGAGGAAGGGCAGUAAGUUAAUACCUUGCUGUUUUGACGUUACCAACAGAAUAAGCACCGGCUAACUUCGUG
rnacentral:rRNA from 1 species